rnacentral:rRNA from 1 species
AGUGAACGCUGGCGGUAGGCCUAACACAUGCAAGUCGAACGGCAGCACAGGAGAGCUUGCUCUCUGGGUGGCGAGUGGCGGACGGGUGAGGAAUACAUCGGAAUCUACCUUUUCGUGGGGGAUAACGUAGGGAAACUUACGCUAAUACCGCAUACGACCUACGGGUGAAAGUGGGGGACCGCAAGGCCUCACGCGAUUAGAUGAGCCGAUGUCCGAUUAGCUAGUUGGCGGGGUAAUGGCCCACCAAGGCGACGAUCGGUAGCUGGUCUGAGAGGAUGAUCAGCCGCACUGGAACUGAGACACGGUCCAGACUCCUACGGGAGGCAGCAGUGGGGAAUAUUGGACAAUGGGCGCAAGCCUGAUCCAGCCAUACCGCGUGGGUGAAGAAGGCCUUCGGGUUGUAAAGCCCUUUUGUUGGGAAAGAAAUCCUAUUGGUUAAUAACCGGUGGGGAUGACGGUACCCAAAGAAUAAGCACCGGCUAACUUCGUGCCAGCCGCCGCGGUAACAC